ACCGGCGCACGGGUGCGUAACGCGUAUGCAAUCUACCUUAUACAGAGGGAUAGCCCAGAGAAAUUUGGAUUAAUACCUCAUAGUAUUACGACUUGGCAUCAAGAUGUAAUUAAAGUUCCAACGGUAUAAGAUGAGCAUGCGUCCCAUUAGCUAGUUGGUGUGGUAACGGCACACCAAGGCAACGAUGGGUAGGGGUCCUGAGAGGGAGAUCCCCCACACUGGUACUGAGACACGGACCAGACUCCUACGGGAGGCAGCAGUGAGGAAUAUUGGUCAAUGGGCGCAAGCCUGAACCAGCCAUGCCGCGUGCAGGAUGACGGUCCUAUGGAUUGUAAACUGCUUUUGUACAGGAAGAAACACUCCCUCGUGAGGGAGCUUGACGGUACUGUAAGAAUAAGGAUCGGCUAACUCCGUGCCAGCAGCCGCGGUAAUACGGAGGAUCCAAGCGUUAUCCGGAAUCAUUGGGUUUAAAGGGUCCGUAGGCGGUUUUAUAAGUCAGUGGUGAAAUCUGGUCGCUCAACGAUCAAACGGCCAUUGAUACUGUAAGACUUGAAUUACUUGGAAGUAACUAGAAUAUGUAGUGUAGCGGUGAAAUGCUUAGAGAUUACAUGGAAUACCAAUUGCGAAGGCAGGUUACUACAAGUAUAUUGACGCUGAUGGACGAAAGCGUGGGGAGCGAACAGGAUUAGAUACCCUGGUAGUCCACGCCGUAAACGAUGGAUACUAGC
rnacentral:rRNA from 1 species